rnacentral:rRNA from 1 species
CGGACGGGUGAGUAAUGUCUGGGAAACUGCCCGAUGGAGGGGGAUAACUACUGGAAACGGUAGCUAAUACCGCAUAACGUCGCAAGACCAAAGAGGGGACCUUCGGGUCUCUUGCCAUCGGAUGUGCCCAGAUGGGAUUAGCUAGUAGGUGGGGUAACGGCUCACCUAGGCGACGAUCCCUAGCUGGUCUGAGAGGAUGACCAGCCACACUGGAACUGAGACACGGUCCAG